rnacentral:tRNA from 1 species
GAGGAUAUAGCUCAGUGGUAGAGCUCAUGCUUAACAUACAUGAGGUCUUAGGUUCAAUCCCCAGAACCUCC